UACGUAGGGUGCGAGCGUUGCCCGGAUUUAUUGGGCGUAAAGGGCGCGUAGGCGGCUCGGCACGUCCGUUGUGAAAUCGCCCGGCUCAACUGGGCGGGGUCAGCGGAUACGGUCGAGCUUGAGCAAGCUAGGGGGCAAUGGAAUUCCCGGUGUAGUGGUGGAAUGCGUAGAUAUCGGGAGGAACACCAAUUGCGAAGGCAGCUCGCUGGGACGUUACUGACGCUGAGACGCGAAAGCGUGGGGAGCAAACAGG
rnacentral:rRNA from 1 species